rnacentral:siRNA from 1 species
AGGUGGGCUUUAGUGGAACCAUGC